GAUGAAGAACGUAGCGAAAUGCGAUACUUGGUGUGAAUUGCAGAAUCCCGUGAACCAUCGAGUCUUUGAACGCAAGUUGCGCCCGAAGCCAUCAGGUUGAGGGCACGUCCGCCUGGGCGUCACAUAUCGUUGCCCAAUGCCUAUUGCAGUGCAAUAGGAAUUUCUAGGGCGAAUGAUGGCUUCCCGUGAGCGUUGUUGCCUCGCGGUUGGUUGAAAAUCGAGUCCUUGGUAGGGUGUGCCAUGGUAGAUGGUGGUCGAGUUAGAACGAUACCGAUCAUGUGCAUGCUCCCCAAAAUAUGGCCUCUAUGACCCACACGCGUCUUUUGACGCUCAUGACGAGACCUCAGGUCAGGCGGGGCUACCCGCUGAAUUUAAGCAUAUCAAUAAGCGGAGGA
rnacentral:misc_RNA from 1 species